rnacentral:rRNA from 1 species
UGGGGAAUUGUUCGCAAUGGGCGCAAGCCUGACGACGCAACGCCGCGUGGAGGAUGAAGAUCUUCGGGUCGUAAACUCCUUUCGAUCGGGACGAAUGGCCGGUGACCUAACACGUCAUCGGAGUGACGGUACCGAGAGAAGAAGCCCCGGCUAACUCCGUGCCAGCAGCCGCGGUAAUACGGGGGGGGCAAGCGUUGUUCGGAAUUACUGGGCGUAAAGGGCGCGUAGGCGGCCUACUAAGUCGGACGUGAAAUCCCUCGGCUCAACCGAGGAACUGCAUCCGAUACUGGCAGGCUGGAAUCCGGGAGAGGGAUGUGGAAUUCCAGGUGUAGCGGUGAAAUGCGUAGAUAUCUGGAGGAACACCGGUGGCGAAGGCGGCAUCCUGGACCGGUAUUGACGCUGAGGCGCGAAAGCUAGGGGAGCAAAC